CAGGGUUGACCUUCUUUCCUUAACUCAUGCCGCUGUGCCUUUUCAUUAAUUUCACAAUGGCGUGAGUUGAGCACAGAGUGUCAGUCCU
rnacentral:pre_miRNA from 1 species